rnacentral:rRNA from 1 species
AUGAUUCAGCAAUUGAUCACUUAGCUCACAGGCAGAGGAAGAACACAGCUAGCUGUGAGAAUUAAUGUGAAUUACAAGACACACUGAUCAUCAACACUUCAAACUAACUUGCAGCCCUAAGUAUUUUUUUAGAGCUAUGCCAAAACAAAACAUA